rnacentral:rRNA from 1 species
UGGGGAAUAUUGGACAAUGGGCGCAAGCCUGAUCCAGCCAUGCCGCGUGUGUGAAGAAGGCCUUUUGGUUGUAAAGCACUUUAAGCGAGGAGGAGGCUACUUGGAUUAAUACUCUAGGAUAGUGGACGUUACUCGCAGAAUAAGCACCGGCUAACUCUGUGCCAGCAGCCGCGGUAAUACAGAGGGUGCGAGCGUUAAUCGGAUUUACUGGGCGUAAAGCGUGCGUAGGCGGCUUCUUAAGUCGGAUGUGAAAUCCCUGAGCUUAACUUAGGAAUUGCAUUCGAUACUGGGAAGCUAGAGUAUGGGAGAGGAUGGUAGAAUUCCAGGUGUAGCGGUGAAAUGCGUAGCGAUCUGGAGGAAUACCGAUGGCGAAGGCAGCCAUCUGGCCUAAUACUGACGCUGAGGUACGAAAGCAUGGGGAGCAAACAGG